rnacentral:tRNA from 1 species
GUCGUCGUGGGCGACGGCGGGCCGGUCCCGGCGGUCGACCUGGGCGACGGCGCGCACGCGGUCGGUCGCAUCGACCGCGUCGACG